rnacentral:lncRNA from 1 species
AUCCCAUUACAUAGUGAAAGCUCAUACGGCGAAUUUACGUCCACUGAUACAUAUGCAUAUUCACAUUAUGGUUCUUCUAUUCCAUACAAUCCAUAUCCUUAUGAUGUUUCAGUCUAUAUGCCACAAAUGACUGUUGUCCAUUAUGUCCACGAUCCAGUUGAAUAUGCAGAUUAUCUCUGACAAUACAAUGAGAUAUAUCAGGAAUAUAUGACUUUCUCACAAUACCAGCAAAACUUAUAUCAACAUUGUCAAAUAAAUCUUAUAUCUGUAGAUAACAAUAUGUCAUAUGAUCAAGCGCGACGAAAUAUGUGGAAUUAAGCAGUCAUCUUUAUGUAAAGAUGUAAAUUUAAAUAAUUAUUGUACUUGCGAAUUUUAUUAUUGUAUUUUAAUUUCUAUUCUGCAUCAGGUGUAGUUGUACUUUACUUACAAAA